rnacentral:lncRNA from 1 species
CACCCAGCUCCUGUUUCUUUUUCUGCGCUGCGUUCACUUCAAGUAUGAGCCAAGGGUGACACCUGGUGGCCAUUUCUGUAGCUGCAGAACCCAGAGCGGAGACACCCAACAACAGGAGGGGCGUGAGGGCCUAUUAUGACAACAGAGAAACCAGGUACAGCAAGGUUAAGCAACCUGCUCCGGGUCACAUGGUUCCUAAGUGCCCAAAUGAUGAAAUGAGUGGAACACCUGGCAAGCCUCUGGGGGACAGAGGAGGCCAAAAGGAAGUGGCCUGCCAUUGGGUUAGAAGUGCCAAAUUCCAAUCCAGCCUUGCCCAACAAGUAGAGUGACCUCCUUCAAGGGCCUUCUGCUGGCUGAGCGCCAGUCUCCUUGAUGGUACCAUGCGGUGUUCGAUAGAGCCGUGAUUCUCAACUGACUGUAUGCAAGAAUCACCUGGGGAGAAUGUUUUAAAUACCGACGCUUGCCCCGGCACUGGCUGAUGAAAUCAAUAUCAGUAGGAGUGGGACCGAGGUAUAGGUAUUUUCAAAAUCUUUUUAAAUGACUCAACAUGAAGCCAGGGUUGAGAAGGAGGCCUCUGGGAGAUUCCAUCUUCAGAUCUCCCUGCACUCCAGAGGUCAGCCCCUGAGGCCUCCCUGCUGCCCGGAGGGCUCACCAGAGAAACAGCCCUCUCUCCCCCAGCAUUCCCUGGACAUCUUAACUGGUCCGCCCAGACCCCCAGGACAAGCUGCCUCCCCACCCCCUGGGCCUUCAGGGAGAAUACUGGCUAUCAGUCCUUCCCAGAGGGGGCUCAGCAGGUGUGACCCCACGCCUGGCCUCUGGGGUGGGGGCAUGGAAGGCCACUGGGAGCUUAACCCCAACAGGAUGAAGGCGCCAUAAUUAGGGUCAGGCGGUUGGCUCAGCCUGCGGAAAUCCCCAGCUUAGUAGGGAUGGGGGUGCUUCAGCCUGGGAAGGGGGGUCAGGGCAGAAGUGAGGGGGCAGAGGAGCUCAGGCAUGUGGAAACCCCAGGGCCUAGCCCCUAGCCACCUCCUGAAAGGGCCCUCUAGAAGCUCAACACCGUUACCCCCCCACCCUGGACUCACUGACCGCCCAGGGAGGGAGGGACGGGACGGACCAGCCCCCCAACCCCAGCAGCCCUGCUGCUCCCGUCAGGCUGGGGUGUGCCAGGAUCAUCCCCCUACUCUGGCGUUUGGUGGGAGGACGAGGGCACCGGUGGGAAAGCACUAAGUGAGCGUUCCCAGGGCAACGCAGGCUUCUCUCCAGCCUGUAAUCCUCAGGCCUUGAGUGAGGGAUCACUUUCCUCUGUGGAAUGUAACACGGAGGGGACAAAA